rnacentral:ncRNA from 2 species
CGCAUGUGAAGCAGCGUUGGUUCCUGUCUAUGACAGGCGAAGAGGGAAUGCGAUAGGGGGAAACCCCGAAGCGCUGCCGCCCCCGCGACCGUGACCGGAUUAGGUCACUCCAGGCCACUGGCGAUAAGCUGGGAAGGUGGAGUGACCGUUGGGGAAACCCAGAAUCCGCAAGCCGGGAGACCUGCCAGCGCAGAGACUGAACG